CUAGCCAAACAACUAGGUGUAGCACGAGGUGUUGGGUGGUUGACCUAACAUUAAAACUGUAAGAAAGGCCAUUUGAGUUAACAUUAUUUAGCUGCGGAGUCGUUUUCUUGAAGUUUUUGGCUUUAGACGGCAUAAUGGGAAGAGUGGCUGUGCUGGAGCAGUGGGUUGAUCUGUGCGAUCAAAGUUAAGCCAAAAUGUUUCUGUCUCUAUACAUACAAUAAAUUAUGACAUAUUUACUGCCUUUUUUCCUUCAUUAGUACGUCAUGUUGGUGACUGAAGCCUGUUAUGAUGACUUCAACACAUUUCUUCAGAAAGAUUGGCACCAUUUUUAAUGCUUUCUAGAAUGUCUCUGUGGUGAAAAAUGCUCUCCAGGUUAAACCGGGUGGACAGUAUUUUGAAUGAAUAUGAUAGUGACACACACAGGCUGGUAAAAACAGGCUUUCUUCUGUUGGUUCAUGUGCUUCUUCCUACGUCCAAAGGCCACAAGAAGAUUUAAAAAAGGCUCAUGUCAAACUGUGGAUCAUGUCAGAUAUGUG